GUGGAUCACUGUACUGAAAUGCCUGGUCAUCGGUGUUGAGAGGUUUUGUGUCAAUGAGAGAUGGCAAGGCAGCACUAUUGAGGACUGAGCCCAGGAGCUGCAGAGGCCAACCCUUCCACUCCUGCCCUACCAAGGCUCUGGGGUGUCUUGUGGAAUGGGAGAUUACCAGCAUGAAUGAAAACCUAAUGGUGGACUGAUGGCUGUAAGGAAUUCAGUUCUUAAUAUACUGCAUCAGAGUCUGAGAGCAAGAAUACAGAUCCCUUUGGGGAUCCUUGCUCUGACUGAACCACAUUUCUGAUAAUUUACUGCAAACAAAUACUCCAUGCUGCAAUGUUCCUUCCAAGAAAGCAUGUGAUGAUACACUGCUACAG